rnacentral:rRNA from 1 species
AUGGCCGCUCAAGCUGCCGGGACCCUUUUCCUUUGCAUCCUCGUCUUAUCCGGUGCGCCGUACGCCGUCGCCGCCGGGGGCGAGAAGGCGACCGUGUCGGUGAGGGCGGUGACGGCCAUCUCCCACACCGACGACGACUUCAUCUGCGCGACGCUCGACUGGUGGCCCAGGGACAAGUGCAACUACGGCAUGUGCCCCUGGCACAACUCCUCCAUCAUCAACCUGGAUCUCUACAGCCCUAUCCUGUACAAUGCUGUCAAAGCCUUCAACUCGUUGCGGAUUAGGCUCGGAGGAUCGCUGCAGGACCAGAUCACGUACAAAGUUGGCAAGCACUACGCCGACUGCCCCAGCUUCCGGCGAAACGACGACCACCUCUUCGGCUUCACCGACGGCUGCCUCGCCAUGAACCGCUGGGACGAGCUCAACAUCUUCUUCCGGCGAACCAACACGACGGUGACGUUCGGGCUGAACGCGCUGAGGGGCCGGCGCAAGUCCGCCGAGAACGGCAGCACGCUCCACGUCGGCGGCUGGGACGGCCGCAACGCGCGCGACCUGAUGCGCUACACCGUGAGCAAGGGGUACCGCGUGGAGUCGUGGGAGCUGGGCAACGAGCUGUGCGCCGGCGGCGUGGAGGCCAAGGUGAUGGCGGCGCAGUACGGGAAGGACGUGCUCCGGCUCAGGAGGAUGGUGGAGAAGGUGUACAACGGCACCGGCCACCUCCCCAAGGUCCUCGCGCCGGGGGGCUUCUACGACGGGCCCUGGUUCUCCGAGAUGCUGCGCGUCUCCGGCCCCGGCGUCGUCGACGCCGUCACUCACCACAUCUACAACCUCGGCUCCGGGAAGGACAAGGAGCUGAUCAACAAGAUGCAAGACCCGUACUACCUGGACAAGGUGGCGCAGACGUUCAGCGACAUGGAGGCGACGGUGCGGGAGUCCGGGCCGUGGAGCGCGGCGUGGGUGGGCGAGUCCGGCGGCGCGUACAACAGCGGCGGGAAGGACGUGUCGGACCGGUUCGCCAACAGCUUCUGGUACCUGGACCAGCUGGGGAUGUCGGCCGUGUUCGGCACCAAGGUGUACUGCCGGCAGGCCCUCGUCGGCGGAAACUACUGCCUCCUCAACACCACCACGCUCGCCCCCAACCCGGACUACUACAGCGCGCUGCUCUGGCACCGGCUCAUGGGCCCGGGGGUCCUCCAGACCACCGCCGCCGCUGGCUCGCCGUACCUCCGCUCCUACGCGCACUGCUCCAAGAAGCAGCCUGGCGUGACGGUGCUCCUCAUCAACCUGUCCAACUCGACGGCGUUCGACGUGACGGUGGCCGGCGACAUGGACCUGCACCCGCCGCCGCGGAGGUUGCUGCAGGCGGAAGCCGGCGGCGGGGAGGCGGCGGUGUGCGGCGGGCGGAGGGAGGAGUACCACCUGAGCCCCGAGGGCGGCGACAUCCAGAGCCAGGUGGUGGUGCUCAACGGGGAGCCGCUCGCGCUCGGCCCGUGCGGCCAGAUCCCCGAGCUGCGGCCGGCGAUUGCCAUCGACGGGUGCACGCCGGUGCACGUCGAGCCCCACUCCAUCGCGUUCGUCAGGUUCACCGGCUUCAAGGCUCCUGCCUGCGCGUAA